AGGGUUGGCGUAGGCGGUUUAUUAAGUCAGUGGUGAAAGACGGUCGCUCAACGAUUGCAGUGCCAUUGAUACUGGUAGACUUGAGUGAGAUUGAGGUAGCUGGAAUGGAUAGUGUAGCGGUGAAAUGCAUAGAUAUUAUCCAGAACACCAAUUGCGUAGGCAAGUUACUAAGUCUCAACUGACGCUGAGGCACGAAAGUGUGGGUAUCAAACAGGAUUAGAUACCCGUGU
rnacentral:rRNA from 1 species